rnacentral:lncRNA from 1 species
GAUUGUUUUGUCUUUUUGAGAGAAAUUGAACUACAUUUAGCGAUCAGGAACUAAAGUCUCUGGCUUAUUUUAGAAACAACAUUGGUGCCAUUAGUUUCCCCAUGCAGAUAAGUGUUUUUAUCUGUGAGUCAAAAAUUUUAGUUCUUAAUUGCAAGAUGUAGUCGAAUUGAUGGUCAUAAUAGAAAAGCAGGAUAACAUCCAUGGUAACCAUAUCAAAUGAAUAAGUUCUUUUAAAAUUCAGAAUGUUUUCAAUACACCAAAUUCAUAGUAUAUUUUGAGUUGUUUGCAAACCUAGCUGUUUAAUGCAGAAAACUAAAAAUUACUUGAGCAGACUCCAACCAUUUAAUGAGCUACAUUCAAUUAAGUGUUGAAGGGGACCAAGGAAGGCAAUGUUAGUAAAUGGAGGUGCGUGAAUUAACCUAAAAAAGCGAGACAUCAUAAAUCAUAUGAUCCAAAAAAGUGCUGUAAGAGACAGAAUUCAAAUUUGAAAAAUAAAUAAAAAUUGAUUCCAAACGAGGAAGAGGAAAAUGAUUUAAAUAAAAUGAGCAAACGAACGCUUGAAGAAGAAAUUCGGAAAGAAUGAGCAAGCCGAAAAGUAGAUGUAUUUUCAACAUAAGAAGCCAUGUGAAAUCUACUCGGGAGUGUGGAUGUCCAAAUGAGACUUCGGCCGAGCCUCAACAAGAGAAUACCAACAUACAAGAAAAAAGUAACGUUGAAUGUGACGAAACAAAAUUUUAUGAUGGGUAUCCCCACCCAAUUCUUAAAAAAGUUUUAUCUACAGCACAGCAAAGCAAUAAUCAAAAACUUCAAAGAGAAAGAUACCAUUCGAUGGUAAAUUCUGACCUCUAUGCAAACAGGCGGGAAACUUUAAUACAACGCACAAACAGAGAUCAGUACAAGAGGCCAUUGGAAGGGUCCAGGGCACAAGAAAAAAGUGCUAUCUUUGAAAGUACUCCAAAUCAGUGUGCAAGCAGUAUUAAAAAUGAUGUUGCUUAUAAUACCAGGAAACAAAAUUGUCACCCCAACUGUGUUGAUGCACAAUUUAGGGAAAACUUAGGAGAAAUCAAUACAAUGAAUAAAGUCUGCAUUCAUAAUCAUGUGGCAAACCACAAUCAUGUGAGAAACCAUGAUCAUGAGAUAAACUAUAACCAUGACGCAAACCAUGUGGACCACUGCCAUGGAGUUACUCACUGUCAAAAUCAUGGAAAUUAUGCAUUUAGCCAUAAUAUGAUGCAUAAUUAUUGCUCUCAUAAUUCACGACAUCACUCAAUGGAUGAUUCUUUAACGAACAAUAUUCAUUAUCAUAAACUUCACCAUUGCGACAACCAUCAUGCAAAGAAAUCUUGUCAUCAUUUACAUGGAUUGAGCACUGAAAAUUCGUUUGAUAGAGGACAGUUAGCUCCCUCACACCAAAUUGAGCUAUCCUACAUUGAACAGAUACUAAAAAAGACUGAAAAGUACAAACUUGAUGGAAUGAACAACAAUGCUCCAAAGACUUACGAUGACAAAAAUACAAAAUCAAAGUACAAGCUUGCUCAGAGAUCAGAAUCAUUAGAUGAUGUUCCAACAACAGAAUAUCAGUCUAGUUAUGGGAAAUUUCAUGAUACCAGUAGCAUUCUUGAAGCAAGAAGAAGAAGUCUGAAAAUGCAUUGGGACAUUCAUGGCAGUUAUUUAGUCUAGAUGAUCAAGUAAAAAGCCAUGCUAGUGUGGCAAAAGGACAUAACACCCACAAAAAUCUGUGGAUCUUGAGCCCUGAAAAUGAACCUCUUAUCUCUUCAGUGAUUGGCGAAAAUACGUAGAAAUUACAGGAACUUAAUGGUUUUAUACUUAAAGUGAUCUGUGCUUCUAAUUGUGAUGCACUUGACGUCAAGAGGACUUGAGGUAAAAAUAAAAAAUAAAAAAUUGAGAUAGCUUCAUUUUUAUAAUCAGGGAAUAAUUUUGGAUCAAAUAAUGCAAAAAAAAAAAAAAAAAAAAAACACUACAAAAUGUCAAAAAUUGAUGUUAGUAGAGCAUUUCAAGGCUCCAUCAACUUGAAAAUGAUUUGACAGAGAUCUGAUGACAAAGGUGGCCACGAGGGCACAAUCUUGCAAUCUGCAUUUUGAUUUGUUAAAAUUUCAAAAAGUGUGACAAAAAGUGUUUCAAAUAUGUGGACAGCAUCUUUUAACGAAUAUUUCUAGAAUUUACCUGUCAUGGGUGAGUGAACUAUCAAUUCCAAGAGUGAACAAACUGGAGAGAAUUUUGUAGGAAGCAACUUGAAUUUCAUCCACUAUUGACAAAAGAAGAAUAAAACAAUUAGUAACUGUUCCAGACAUUGCUUUCGGAGCUUAAAAUUUAAAGAUUUUUUUCAAUUUUUAUUGCAUAAUUUAAAAAUUAAAUUUAUACCUAAUCAAAUAAUAUGUUGAGAGAGCACAGCAUUCGUUUAGAAAAAGAGAUAGCAUGGUAGAAUAAUGCAGAGUCCACCCUGUUCUGCAAGGAAAACAGGCUACAAAUUUCCAACAAUUUUCAUUAGGUUAGAAAAGUUGAACUCUAAUGAGUAUCAGUGCAAGAAUUGGGAGAGGGGGGGGGAGUGUUCAGCUCAGGCAAAUGCAUUGCAUUAUUAAGCUAAGGUCUUGCUGAGGGACCUACAUCGAUUUGGGUCUCUUCAGACCUUAUCAGUGGAUCACACUUGUCAGAGCCUAUGUCAGUCAAAGGCGGACAAGCCAACUAACUAACUAACUAGCAAAGCUAAACUAACUGACAAGCCAACUCUACAGUUCCACUAAAUUACCCAGUCCAUAGGUAUGUCACCUUGUAGCAAUGUUGAUGAUUAAGUUGAGGUUGUAGAUAGGAAAGGGUAAUGCUAACUACUUAAUAAUGCAGAAAAACAAACUGCACUAAAAAGUAAGGGACUAAUAAUUGAUUCACUGAUUCAUACUAUGAAAGAAUAAUUAAUCAGAGCUUGAUGUCUUCCUUUAAAGAGGAUGGCAACCUUAAAAACAAGUUUGGCAAAAUCGACAAAGAAAAGUGAGCUAUGAACGAUGCCAAAAUCAGGUUUCGAAUAUCUGCAUUCGUUAAGCCGCUAUCGCGAAAAAACAGCGCGUGACGUCAUGAGCUCCGUCUCGCAUUUCGCAGUCUGGACUCUGCAAGUGGCCGACGCAUGUUCGCGACAAGUUAUUCGUUCGCCUCAAUCUCGCUCGUUCCUGGCCGACUCUAUUUUCUUUGCUUAGGUGUGACUAUUAAGGCGACUUCACGGCACCAGACAGCGAACGCGCCAGACUUCGAGUUGUGUGUAAGUGAACCACAGUCGCACCGGAAGCGCAUGACGUCACCAGUCAGACUUACAAUCUUUCAUAUCUCUGCCGAUUUAGCGAAUUUUUCAUUUGCGACAAAGCCAUUUUGCUUCUUAUACCUUCCCGCUUCAAUUUUUAAUACAAUCUCAUUUUCAAUUUUAGGGUUGCCGUCCUCUUUAAAAAAAAAGAAGAAAACAAAGAGAAAAACGUAUCUGAGGAAAAAUUGAGAGAGAGAACUACUCACAAAGUAGAUCACUGCCGUAUUCACAAGCAGCUAGAUGAUCGAACAUGGCUGUUAGAACAGGAAGAAUCACAUCAUUGACAUAGAAGAGUGAAGUUGAAGUUUUCAAAUGAGUUCCUCGCAGAUGACUAUAUUUCCCCUAAAACAAUUUUAAAAAUCAUUAAUAUACAAAUAUUUCAUCAAGUUGUUGAAAAAUUAAAUCAAAAUAGUAGAUCACUGCCUUAAAACUGAAAAAAAAAUUCACAUCUAAAUGAAAAAGGAAGAACAGCUGAGUAUUGGAAAAUUUUCCACUGCAGAAGAAAUUUCCGAGGAAGAAAAUUUUUACCCCAACAAGCUGCUCAACAUGCAGUCUCUAUUUCUUUUGGCGGAUAACAAAACGUUGGUUUUUUUUGAUACUCA